GGUCACGUAGCUGAGCCAGGUUUAGCACUCGGCUUUUAACCGGGAGAACGAGGUUUCAAAUACCUCCGUGAUCACCA
rnacentral:tRNA from 1 species